UUUUUUCAAAUUUGAUCAGAUUUCACAAGACUUCAGGAAGCUACAUCCAGAGGCAGACUUUUUAUAGACUGGGCUACAUUUGCAAGAUGGAAAGGUGCAUUAAGAGCUGGGUGACAUGACUUCAGGUGGGGACCAGCAUGGUGGAUUUGUGCCUGGGGGAUGAGACAACGACAUCCCAGACCUUCGCCAUUGUUACGGGCUGUGCCACUGAAGCCACUGACUUGUUGCCUGGAAAUUUCUCCAGCUUGCAGUAUAUUAUAUUGAUGGACAUAAGUCUUCAUGUGUGAAUUUUAUUUAUUUAUUUUUUAAAGACCAACUGUUUUUUCUGGCCAAUUGUAACAUGUUUUAAAUUGUCAUAUGUAUUGUCUGGUGGACACUUUGUUUGGCUUAGUUUUAAUAGCACAAUGUUUGGAAUGAUUCUCAUGUGGUAAUCAUUCAUUUUUGAGUGUUCUGCUGCUGCAAUGUUAACAAAGAAUGGGAAUCUACAGUGCCUAGUUUACGCAGUUUUGUGUUUUAAAGUAACUGAUCUACUAAAAUUGUUGUUUUAUGUGUCUGUGAUGGUUGGAUAAAAUGUUUUACAGCUGCACCCAUUUGAAAAUUGUUUUAAAAAUAAAUAAAACUCAUUAAAUUGA